GUUGAACGCUGGCGGCAGGCCUAACACAUGCAAGUCGAGCGGAGUGGCGGACGGGCGAGUAAUGCCUAGGAAUCUGCCCGGCCGUGGGGGAUAACGUCCGGAAACGGGCGCUAAUACCGCAUACUAUCAGAUGACCCUAGGUUGGAUUAGCUAGCUGGUUGGGUAAAGGCCUACCAAGGCGACGAUCCGUAACUGGUCUGAGAGGAUGAUCAGCCACACUGGAACUGAGACACGGUCCAGACUCCUACGGGAGGCAGCAGUGGGGAAUAUUGGACAAUGGGCGAAAGCCUGAUCCAGCCAUGCCGCGUGUGUGAAGAAGGUCUUCGGAUUGUAAAGCACUUUAAGUUGGGAGGCGUUACCAACAGAAUAAGCACCGGCUAACUUCGUGCCAGCAGCCGCGGUAAUUC
rnacentral:rRNA from 1 species